rnacentral:rRNA from 1 species
GACAGAGGAUGCAAGCGUUAUCCGGAAUGAUUGGGCGUAAAGCGUCUGUAGGUGGCUUUUUAAGUCCGCCGUCAAAUCCCAGGCUCAACCCUGGACAGGCGGUGGAAACUACCAAGCUGGAGUACGGUAGGGGCAGAGGGAAUUUCCGGUGGAGCGGUGAAAUGCGUAGAGAUCGGGAGGAACACCUGUGGCGAAGGCGGCCCCCUGGGCCGGCCCUGACACUGAGACGCGAAGGCGUGGGGAGCGAACGGG